rnacentral:rRNA from 1 species
GACGAACGCUGGCGGCGUGCUUAACGCAUGCAAGUCGAACGGAAAGUCCCUGCUUUUUUGGGGUACUCGAAUGGCGAACGGGUGAGUAACGCGAGAGUAACCAGCCCUGGACUUUGGGAUAAGUUCAGGAAACUGGGGCUAAUAACGGAUAGGAGCUGCAGCUGCAUGGUGGGGGAUGGAGAGAUUCGGCGGUUGGGGGUGGAGUCGCGGCUUAUCAGCUUGUUGGUGGGGUAGUGGCUUACCAAGGCUUUGACGGGUAGCCGGCCUGAGGGGGUGACCGGCCACAUUGGGACUGAGAUAAGUGCCAGACUCCUGAGGGAGGCAGCAGUGGGGAAUAUUGCACCAUGGGCGGAAGCCUGAUGCAGCAGCGCCGCGUGCGGGAUGACGGCCUUCGGGUUGUAAACCGCUUUCGCCUGUGACGAAGCGUGAGUGACGUUAAUGGGUAAAGAAGCACCGGCUAACUACGUG